GUGCUUGCUUUGGGAGCACAUAUAGUAAAACUGGAAUGAUACAGAAAACAUUAGCAUGGCCCCUGCCCAAGAAUGGCAUGCAAAUUCAUGAAGCAUUACAUAUCUUU
ensembl:snRNA U6 U6 spliceosomal RNA